CUCAGAACCUUAAAGCAGCUUUAAUUCAAUGAGUUUACCUGGGGUGAGGAAGCAGUAGCUGCUGCCAAGCUUUCUGCAGAAGAGGUUACAGCAGGAGAAUGACACAGCACUUUAAGGACUCUAGAGAAACAAAGAAACCUCUGCUUCCUUUGUAGAGCACAGAUUAAAACGCAUGCAGCUGACAACCUUCUGAGAAAAUCCAAUUGGCAGUCUCCAGCCUUCCCCAACUCACUGAACUCACCAUCUCAUCUUCACUCCUCAGCCUACUCUCUCCCCAGACUCCCUUGCACAAUGGUAUCCCUCUUUUCUUGUACACUCAAGUCAGAAAACUGGGCAACCACCUUAAGCUUUAAAUCCUUUAAAUGACAAUCAUAUAGAGAAUUAUUCUAAAUUUCUUAGUCUCCCAGGACCACCUCCAACCUAUGUCUAUAGCUUUAAUUUCUGCCUUCGUCAACUCACAGUUGAUGUGCUUACACUGUUCAACAUCUUGGAAUUAACCACGUUUACCAUUCUGUUUCCUACUUGAUUCAUUUUAUUCCAACUGUAAAAGUCUUCCCAUGCUUAUUUCCCUAAAUCUCAUCUCAUCUGUGUGUCCUCUCCUCUCCUUUUCUGAAUUAUCAGGUAUAUCCAACAGCUCUCCUUGUGUUACUACAACGUUUUAUGCAUGUAUCUUUUACAUGACUACUUUCUCCUCUUAGGCAAUA
rnacentral:lncRNA from 10 species